AAGAAAAGUGGUCUGUAACGGCGCUUGAAUCAAGACGUUUUAAAAAACGUUGUGGUAUACUGAAUAGUCAACACGUUUUUCAAGGCGUCAUGCUCGCCGUAUUUAACUUAAUAGACAUUAAACCCCAUUCCAAUUACAAAAUAACACAAAAUCUCUCUCAUACACGGCUCUUCUUCAUUGAACUCGAUCUCUCUCUCUCUCUCUCUCUCUCUCUCACAAAUCGCAGAUCCGAACUCGAUUUGAUCUCUCUUGCAUUUUGUUAGAUCUAUUCUUGCUCUAGCUUUUCUUCAUCGAACUCAAACUCGAUCUCUCUCGCAAAUUGCAGAUCCGAAAUCGAACAAGAAAGUCUAUCAAUUUAAUUGGUGUUUGAUUUCUUUGUAGGUGGCGAUGAAAUGUAGAGAUCAGUUACAUGAACUUGUAAAGGAAGAGAUUGAGAAGAGGGAUUCGAGUACGGAGGAGUGGAAGAUCGUGAUGGAGAGAAGCUUCAAUCGCAUGGACAAUGAGGUGAUUGCAAGGAACGACAGCGUUCUGCGCACCGAGAAAUAUCGAUCCGUUGUUGAAGGAUCUGAGUGAGAAGAAGCAGAGCUUCCGGCGGAACGUGGUGUCACUGGCGGUGGAGCACAAGGAGGUCCGAAGCCGUCUCGCUUCACAGGCAGAGGCCAAAGCUAAGAAGAUGGAGGAUGAGAUGUAUAGAUUACAGGAGAGCUUAGAGGAGAGAAAUUGCAGCUUCAAGCAUCAACAUCUACUGCUGGGAAGGUAUGAUUUUGCUCUGUUUUCUUUUUAUGCACUUGAUUGCAUAGCUUUCUCUUGAUUUCUCUUAAUUCCAUGAUUUGGUUAUACAAUUGUACUGUCUAUUGUGUCAAUUUCGUUAUUAUAAUUUUAAUUGCAUCAAUUCAGUGUAUCAAUUUACACACCAUAUACUUCAUCGUGAUGUCAAGGUUAGUUGCCUCUCUAUGUGAUUUGUAAAGUUUUAAGUGAAGUGUUAUAUCUCUGAAAUCUCAAUGGUUGUUCUGUACUGCUGAUGUUUCACACUUGCUUCAAUGUUCGAAUAAAUUUCUGACAAAAGAUCAGGACAUAAGCCUAGGUGAUUUUGGUCUUGCUAAGAUGUUGACUUCCGAUGAUCUUGCUUCCUCUGUG